UGACCAUGAAAAUUCAGAACACAUGACUUCCCCCUUAGAUCAACAAGAAACAAAGACCAUGCUAGACACAUAUCGUGUGGUACAACACUCUUCUUCGUUUUCUAUUUUCUCACUUUGUCUGGUUUGUCUUCUAUGCAUUGAGGUUACUAGUGUGUUGGUGUGUUUCUCAUUCUCAGUUGUUCUGUCUGAAAGAGAAGCGUACAUAGUUAGAGAAUACUUGGAUGAGAGGAUUACUAAAACAAUGUUGAACAUAUGGUUAGUGAAGUUAAAAAGACCUGUUUUCUUUUCCUUUUGGCACAAGCUAUACACAACAUGAAUUCGUUUUAUCUAAAUAUAGAAACUCAAAAACCAUAUUGUUUCAAAACUUGACUUGAUCGAAAUAGACUAGGACCCUUUUCUUGGAAUGGUCAAAUAAUCUAAACAAAGAAGUCCCCUAAAUAUAUGGUUGAGUCAAUCAUCAAAUUUAAACAAUAGAGAAAAAAUAGCUUACAUAGAAUUCAAUGGUGGAAACUAACUUGACAUCCUCCAUUAAAGCACCUCGAGUCUCCUCAAAGUUUAUUUGGUCGGGUUGGGCAAAACCUAACAAGAAAAGGGCAUAAAAAAACAAAGACAUAUCUGAUCAACCCGACCCACUUUAACCUCUUUGUUGGCCGCGCUACAUGUUCGCACGCGGCCAUCUCACAAAGAACAUAUAUUAAAACACACACAACAUCAUUCAUAAGCUUAAAAGCUUUGAUAGUAAUAAAACCAAGAAAGAAGAACCCUAAGUUGCAUUCACAAGCCACAUCUUCAUAACACAUCAUCAAGUGGUAUAAAUAUAAAAAAUGGUGAGAAGAAGAGACAACCUUACGUUAUCAGUCUUACCACCGCCUCUCGGCGAGGCCAAAACGGC
rnacentral:lncRNA from 1 species